CGCGUAGGCGGCCAGGUAAGUCAGAUGUGAAAGCCCGGGGCUCAACCCUGGAAGUGCAUCUGAAACUGCUUGGCUUGAGUAUGGGAGAGGGAAGUGGAAUUCCUGGUGUAGAGGUGAAAUUCGUAGAUAUCAGGAGGAACACCGGUGGCGAAGGCGACUUCCUGGACCAAUACUGACGCUGAGGCGCGAAGGCGUGGGGAGCAAACA
rnacentral:rRNA from 1 species